rnacentral:pre_miRNA from 1 species
UCAUAUAGAUGAGCAAAGACAGUGGUUUCUUGAGAUGGAAUCUACUCCUGGUGAAGAUUCUGUCUAUGUA